rnacentral:rRNA from 1 species
CUAGCCGUAAACGAUGGGUACUAGGUGUGGGAGGUAUCGACCCCUUCCGUGCCGGAGUUAACGCAAUAAGUACCCCGCCUGGGGACUACGAUCGCAAGAUUGAAACUCAAAGGAAUUGACGGGGGCCCGCACAAGCGGUGGAGUAUGUGGUUUAAUUCGACGCAACGCGAAGAACCUUACCAAGGCUUGACAUUGAGUGAAAGGCUAAGAGAUUAGCCCCUCUCUUCGGAGACACGAAAACAGGUGG